AGAGUUUGAUCCUGGCUCAGGAUGAACGCUAGCGGCAGGCUUAACACAUGCAAGUCGAGGGGUAUAGUUCUUCGGAACUAGAGACCGGCGCACGGGUGCGUAACGCGUAUGCAAUCUACCUUUUACAGAGGGAUAGCCCAGAGAAAUUUGGAUUAAUACCUCAUAGUAUGUGAGAAUCGCAUGAUUUUCACAUUAAAGUUCCAACGGUAAAAGAUGAGCAUGCGUCCCAUUAGCUAGAUGGUAAGGUAACGGCUUACCAUGGCGACGAUGGGUAGGGGUCCUGAGAGGGAGAUCCCCCACACUGGUACUGAGACACGGACCAGACUCCUACGGGAGGCAGCAGUGAGGAAUAUUGGACAAUGGGCGCAAGCCUGAUCCAGCCAUGCCGCGUGCAGGAUGACGGUCCUAUGGAUUGUAAACUGCUUUUGUACAGGAAGAAACACUCCCUCGUGAGGGAGCUUGACGGUACUGUAAGAAUAAGGAUCGGCUAACUCCGUGCCAGCAGCCGCGGUAAUACGGAGGAUCCAAGCGUUAUCCGGAAUCAUUGGGUUUAAAGGGUCCGUAGGCGGUUUAAUAAGUCAGUGGUGAAAGCCCAUCGCUCAACGGUGGAACGGCCAUUGAUACUGUUAAACUUGAAUUAUUAGGAAGUAACUAGAAUAUGUAGUGUAGCGGUGAAAUGCUUAGAGAUUACAUGGAAUACCAAUUGCGAAGGCAGGUUACUACUAAUGGAUUGACGCUGAUGGACGAAAGCGUGGGUAGCGAACAGGAUUAGAUACCCUGGUAGUCCACGCCGUAAACGAUGGAUACUAGCUGUUGGGGGCAACUUCAGUGGCUAAGCGAAAGUGAUAAUAUCCCACCCUGGGAAUGACUUCG
rnacentral:rRNA from 1 species